AGAGGGUGCAAGCGUUAAUCGGAAUUACUGGGCGUAAAGCGUGCGCAGACGGUUAUCUAAGUCGAGUGUGAAAGCCCCGGGCUCAACCUGGGAAUUGCAUUCGAAACUGAAUAGCUAGGGUGCGGAAGAGGGAAGUGGAAUUUCCGGUGUAGCGGUGAAAUGCGUAGAUAUCGGAAGGAACAUCAGUGGCGAAAGCGACUUCCUGGUCCAGCACCGACGUUCAGGCACGAAAGCGUGGGGAGCAAACAGGAUUAGAUACCCUGGUAGUCCACGCCAUAAACGAUGAGAACUAGACGUUGGGGGGGUAAGCCUCUCAGUGUCGCAGCUAACGCGCUAAGUUCUCCGCCUGGGGAGUACGGCCGCAAGGCUA
rnacentral:rRNA from 1 species